UGGCGGCGUGCUUACACAUGCAAGUCGAGCGGCAGCGCGGGAGCAAUCCUGGCGGCGAGCGGCGAACGGGUGAGUAAUGCUUCGGAAUCUGCCCUUUAGUGGGGAAUAACCAGUCGAAAGACUGGCUAAUACCGCAUACGACCUACGGGUGAAAGCAGGGGAUCGCAAGACCUUGCGCUAAUGGAUGAGCCGAAGUCGGAUUAGCUAGUUGGUGAGGUAACGGCUCACCAAGGCGACGAUCCGUAGCUGGUCUGAGAGGACGACCAGCCACACUGGGACUGAGACACGGCCCAGACUCCUACGGGAGGCAGCAGUGGGGAAUAUUGGACAAUGGGGGAAACCCUGAUCCAGCGACGCCGCGUGUGUGAAGAAGGCCUGCGGGUUGUAAAGCACUUUUAGUGGGGAGGAAAACCCCUGACCUAACACGUCAGGAAUUGACUUAACCCAAAGAAAAAGCACCGGCUAACUCUGUGCCAGCAGCCGCGGUAAUACAGAGGGUGCAAGCGUUAAUCGGAAUUACUGGGCGUAAAGCGUGCGUAGACGGUUAUCUAAGUCGGAUGUGAAAUCCCCGGGCUCAACCUGGGAAUUGCAUUCGAGACUGAAUAGCUAGGGUGCGGAAGAGGGAAGCGGAAUUUCCGGUGUAGCGGUGAAAUGCGUUAGAUAUCGGAAGGAACAUCAGUGGCGAAAGCGGCUUCCUGGUCCAGCACCGACGUUCAGGCACGAAAGCGCGGGGGAGCAAACAGGAUUAGAUACCCUGGUAGUCCACGCCAUAAACGAUGAGGAACUAGACGUUGGGAGGGGUU
rnacentral:rRNA from 1 species